rnacentral:rRNA from 1 species
GAUGAACGCUAGCGGCAGGCUUAACACAUGCAAGUCGAGGGGUAGAGGCUUUCGGGCCUUGAGACCGGCGCACGGGUGCGUAACGCGUAUGCAAUCUGCCUUGUACUGGGGGAUAGCCCAGAGAAAUUUGGAUUAAUACCCCAUAGUAUUUUCGGUUGGCAUCAACUGAUUAUUAAAGUUUUUCGGUACAAGAUGAGCAUGCGUCCCAUUAGCUAGUUGGUAUGGUAACGGCAUACCAAGGCUACGAUGGGUAGGGGUCCUGAGAGGGAGAACCCCCACACUGGUACUGAGACACGGACCAGACUCCUACGGGAGGCAGCAGUGAGGAAUAUUGGUCAAUGGUCGCAAGACUGAACCAGCCAUGCCGCGUGCAGGAUGAAGCAUCUAUGGUGUGUAAACUGCUUUUGUACGGGAAGAAACACUGCUACGUGUAGCAGCUUGACGGUACCGUAAGAAUAAGGAUCGGCUAACUCCGUGCCAGCCGCCGCGGUAAAAC